rnacentral:rRNA from 1 species
AUUGGACGCUGGCGGCAGGCCUAACACAUGCAAGUCGAGCGGAUGAGGGUAGCUUGCUAUCUGAUUCAGCGGCGGACGGGUGAGUAAUGCCUAGGAAUCUGCCUGGUAGUGGGGGACAACGUUUCGAAAGGAACGCUAAUACCGCAUACGUCCUACGGGAGAAAGUGGGGGAUCUUCGGACCUCACGCUAUCAGAUGAGCCUAGGUACGAUUAGCUAGUUGGUGAGGUAAAGGCUCACCAAGGCGACGAUCGUUAACUGGUCUGAGAGGAUGAUAAGUCACACUGGAAGUGAGACACGGUCCAGACUCCUACGGGAGGCAGCAGUGGGGAAUAUUGGAAAAUGGGCGAAAGCCUGAUCCAGCCAUGCCGCGUGUGUGAAGAAGGUCUUCGGAUUGUAAAGCACUUUAAGUUGGGAGGAAGGGCAGUAAGUUAAUACCUUGCUGUUUUGACGUUACCAACAGAAUAAGCACCGGCUAACUUCGUGCCAGCCGCCGCGGUAACAC